UACAGAGGAUGCAAGCGUUGUCCGGAAUCACUGGGCGUAAAGGGCGCGUAGGCGGCUCAUGAAGGCUGUGGUGAAAGUCCGGGGCUCAACCUCGGAUCGGCCGUGGCGACUCGUGGGCUGGAGCACUGUAGAGGCGGGUGGAAUUCCGGGUGUAGCGGUGGAAUGCGUAGAGAUCCGGAAGAACACCAGUGGCGAAGGCGGCCCGCUGGGCAGUGGCUGACGCUGAGGCGCGACAGCGUGGGGAGCAAACAGG
rnacentral:rRNA from 1 species